AGAGUUUGAUCAUGGCUCGAGGACGAACGCUGGCGGUGUGCUUCACACAUGCAAGUCGAACGAGGUAGCAAUACCUAGUGGCGGACGGGUGAGUAACGCGUGGGAAUCUGCCUUUAGAUGGGGGAUAACGGGUCGAAAGACUCGCUAAUACCGCAUAUGACGAAAGUUGAAAGGAGUAAUCCGUCUAAAGAUGAGCCCGCGUCCGAUUAGCUAGUUGGUAGAGUAAAAGCCUACCAAGGCGACGAUCGGUAGCUGGUCUGAGAGGAUGAUCAGCCACAAUGGGACUGAGACACGGCCCAUACUCCUACGGGAGGCAGCAGUGGGAAUUUUACGCAAUGGGCGAAAGCCUGACGUAGCGACACCGCGUGAGCGAAGAAGCCCCUUGGGGUGUAAAGCUCUGUCAGCUGGAACGAAAAAAUGACGGUACCAGCAGAGGAAGCAUCGGCUAACUACGUG
rnacentral:rRNA from 1 species